GCUAAAGUAUAUAAAUUGAUAAAAUACAUUGUAAGAGAGCAAUGUGGGACUAUUUUUAAUGUAUAAAUGAACAUGAAAUGGUUAAUUCGCUAUAUUGCCUCGCAUGAGCUUUGCCGUAACCACAUUUUGCCGUCCAACUUUCUUGGGCCGGAUCUAGUUGGAGAAGCCCAGCCCUGUAUCCAAGUAGAGCCGAGAGCAGAGCCGUAGAGCAGUGGCGUGUACACGCGGAGCUACCGAGAGCCACAAGCUGGAAGCAAGUGAGCUGAGCGCAGGCGGGCGGACGCAAUGAUGAUGGUGGUGGCGACUGCGAGCCCCGGCGGGCCGGAGGCGCUGCAGGUGCGCGAGGUCGAGGAUCUCUCGGCGCCGGGGGAGGGCAAGCUGCUUGUCAGGGUGGCCGCUGCCGGCGUCAAUCGCGACGACACGGUCCAGCGGCAGGGCCGGUACUCGCCGCCGUCUGGCGCCUCGCCCUACCCGGGGCUUGAGUGCUCCGGCACCAUCGUCGCACUCGGGGCCAACGCCCCCCGCGCUGGGCCGUCGACACCAGCAUUUGCAGGUGUACACGCUGCUUACCGGCGGCGGGUAUGCGGAGAAGGUUGUGGUUCCGGCGGGGCAGCUUCUACCGACGACAGAGGGGGGGUUGCUGACUGACAGCCGCCAGCUUGCGCGAGGUGGCCUGCACCGUCUGGUCCACCGUCUUCAUGCCAGUCCCCUCUCCCCCGGUGAAUCCUUCCUUAUCCAUGGUGGAUCUAGUGGAAUUAGUACAUUCACUAUACAGAAUGCAAAACACCUUGGAAAUGUACACACAUGAGACAUCAUUCUUUAGACAACAUCUCUACUGCUCUGGCACUUUUGAGUGUCUGCACCAACCUUUAGGAAUUGCAGCUGGGCUAAAGAAAAGCUAAAUAACAAACCACGAAAUUCAGAUGGAAUUUCCGACAUCAGAGACACGUAUUUUGUUAAUCAGGUGCUGAAGAAACAAUCAAUCCUCUCCGCUUGAAGGUAGGUUAUGCACACAGAUUUGUUCUUACCUUGCAAGCAUCGUUGGACGAAGACAGUAGGCAUGAUCAUGGACAAACGCAGUGAGUGCUCAACCCAUCUGUGCAUAUGCUGCACUUCAUGCCCCCGUUCCGCUGCCAUCCUUAUUUUGCCUCUCCUGGAUCUGGCUCCCCAGAGUGUCGUCUUGCUGUCCCUCCCCAGGUUGCCUCGAUCUUGCAGGAGAGGAGCACGGGAGGGCGGUGGCUGGAGUCGGCAGUGGCUGAAGGGAACGCUUGAGAAGGGGAUGCAAUGGAACUGUGAAGGGCGGGUCGGCGAGGAAUCCCGCACAGCGCGACACAUGGGCGAGCAGCGAAGGAGGUUUGGGGUGGCGCCCGAAAAUAUUGGAAGGGGAUGGGGAGGUGGCGGAUGGUUGGAGAAGAAGACCGGCCGCGCGGCCGCGCAUGGCGGCGGCGGCUGUGCCGUACCCGUACGCGAGGAGGAGAGCCCGUGGUCGUGCAUGUGUGUGGUCUUUGUUUAGCAAUUCAAAAUAGCACUGCGGGUAGAAUAAUAAACAAUGCAGGGAUCUUUUUGUAAGUACGAAACGUUUUUUCGAUUGACCACUUAAAAUAGGACUGUAGGUUGAAUUCUUAGAAACAGAGGGACUUUUUUGCAAAAUCGCUAGCGACGACGACCAGAAACCCAAUUCUCUUUAUUAUUAGGUUAUUAUUAGGGAAAGAAAAGACUAGCGUGCUUAAACCUGCACACUGAAACUAUCUUUUGGAGAUUA